AAAUCAUGAUGAGGACAUCUCCUCAAAAGCUCUCCAAAUCGCUCUCAUGCCUCAAAUAAAGAUUCAGCUUCAUGCUGUUGGAAGCAACAUAUCUCCGUCAUAAGCUU